AGACGUCUACAUUAGAUACCCGGGUAGUCCUAGCCGUAAACGAUACUCGCUAGGUGUCGGCCACGGUGCGACCGUUGUCGGUGCCGUAGGGAAGCCGUGAAGCGAGCCACCUGGGAAGUACGGCCGCAAGGCUGAAACUUAAAGGAAUUGGCGGGGGAGCACCACAACGGGUGGAGCUUGCGGUUUAAUUGGAUUCAACGCCGGAAAUCUUACCGGGACCGACAGCAACAUGAAGGCCGGGCUGAAGACUUUGCCGGAUUAGCUG
rnacentral:rRNA from 1 species